rnacentral:rRNA from 1 species
UUGACGGAGAGUUUGAUCCUGGCUCAGGACGAACGCUGGCGGCGUGCUUAAUACAUGCAAGUCGAACGCUCUCGACCUUCGGGUCACAUGAGAGAGUGGCGAACGGGUGCGUAACACGUGAGAAACCUGCCCCAAAGACGGGAAUAGCCCGAGGAAACUCGGAUUAAUACCCGAUACCUCCACAAUGCCGCAUGGCAAUGUGAAGAAAGUUCAGGCGCUUUGGGAGGGUCUCGCGGCCUAUCAGCUUGUUGGUGAGGUAACGGCUCACCAAGGCAUCGACGGGUAGCUGGUCUGAGAGGACGAUCAGCCACACUGGGACUGAGACACGGCCCAGACUCCUACGGGA